AAUUUGUAAUCAGUGGUAUUGUCAAAUAGUAAUUGAAUUUAAAAUCAUGUAAUGGUGUAAUAUUAAGAGUGAGUCUUACUAGGUUAACUUUUGUGACAGUGGGUUGUGUUGGGGGUGGUGACAGUGGGUUGCAUAAGAGAGACCCUUUACCAUUCCAAAAUCCUUUCCUUCUGCUGAAUUGUCGACCCCUUCCCCCCUCCCUUUUAAAGUGGGUUAGGAAUCUGUUGGCAAAGUUGAGUGGUAGGUAUGACUUGGCUCUAGUUGCUCUUCAAGCAUUUUAUUCUUGAAGUUCUUUUAGGCAUCUCUGAUCUUUUGAUACUAAGGUGUUGUUUUUGCACAUGUUUGUUGUGAAAUGCUUGUAUCAUUUGCUCAGUAGCUCAAAUGGCACAUCUUUCCUUCUAAGAGCAAGGUGGAGGGUGAGGUUGUGGUUUCAAGACCUAUCAUGUGCAUGUGUACCAAUAAUUUUUUUUUUUUUUUUCAAAUUUUGCUAUUUUUGAGUUUGGUCUUUGUCUUUAUUCACUUUCUUCUCAAUGAAACUUUGUUUUCUUUGAUAUUUCAUUGAUAGUCUGAUAUUGGAAUUUUUUUUCUCUCUCUCUUGGUUCUUCACUGAAGCAACUAUGUUCCCUAAACCUGGGAUCUAGAGUUUUCUGUUCAGUCAAUGACAUAGUACAAACUAGAACGUUGGAACUACAAAAUUAAAGAACUGGGAAAAUAAAGAUAGAGAAGCUUAGAGUCAGUACCUAGGCUUGCUUGGAGUAUGCACUGAGUGAAAGAAAACCUCUAGGAGUUUGCACCUAAGGUUGGUUGGAGUCAAUAUUAGACCAUUGGGGCAAUUUCAAUUGAAAACCAGAAGUAUGGGAGAGUGCCUGGACUAACUGUAAACCCAGAAGUCUCUGGUUUGACUCAUAGCUGAGGCAUUUUGUGAUUUACCCGAUGCCUGCUCAAUGGGGGUGUAUAGGCAUUUGUGGUUAACCCUCAAGGGGGGUCCCAUUGGCCCAUACCUUGAGGGGGUUCCUUGUCAUAAAAAAAAUUUCAAUAGUAAACCAAUGGUCUAUUGUCUGGUUGGUUGUCCAAAAACACUAAAAUUUUCGUGAUACAAUUAAACAGCCCAUGCAAGGAUAACUGUAAAACAUUCAUGAACUAAGUUAUCAGCAUCAUAAAGCAUAGAACAUCAAAUCUUAGCAUGUUUUCCUAAAAAUUAUGACAAAAAAAUUGAAAAAGAUUUGAUUCUGAUAAUUUCGUUCAUGAAUUUUUAUUGUUAUUCUUGUACGGGCUGUUUAAUUGUAUUUUGAAAUUUUGUAGUGUAUCCUUGCAGUUACAAAUUUUUUUUUUUUUUUUUCAUGAAGAAAAAUUAAAUAUAGACUUUGGUAAAUAAGUAGGACCUAUUAGGUGGACCAUUUACCUGGGUAGGGACUAUGUUGCUUUCUGUUUUGUUAUUGUUGCUGUUGGGUUAAUUUAUCCAAAAAAGAAAAGAAAAGAAAAGAAAAAAAAAAAAAAAGGAAAAACAAAAGAGUAGUUGCUGUUGCACAAGUAAACUUAACUGUGGUUGUGUCACAGAUCUUAUUUUACUAAAUAUGUGAGUCUUGUAUAGUUUAUGGGCCUUUGUAUGUGCUUUUUGCAUAGUUUAGUAGUCAAUUAUUCAUUCCUUUAUUUUUGAAAUGAUUGGAAAUAUUAUAUAUUAGUAUGGGGAGGUACCAUCCUGCCUUCGAGGGUGGGUGGUAGGAGUCAAUCUUAUUGUUGGGACAAGUUUAGAGUAAAAAGAGUGAAUCUAUAUGUCAUAGUAAACGGAAGAAAAUAGAGCUGAUGAAAUGACCUUGAGUACUGUGGUUAUUGUAGGCUUGCAUGCCCUUGUGUAAUUUUUUCUGAUCUUUGUUUUUUUUUUUUUUGGUUCACUUCGAUAUUUACUUUACUGGUCACAACUUGCAAGAUUCAUCAAUUUUUUUUUUUUUUUGCAAUCAGUUGAUCCCAAAUCCAUAAAAUCUUUUCCUUUGAUUGUUGAGACGCCUCAAAAAUUAAAAUUCCCCAAUUUAACCACCAAAUUACUGAUCACAUCAAAUUUUAGGGCCCGUAAUGUAAAGAUUUUGCAAGAUAAUUAUUGGAACCUUUUUUUUUUGAGUUCAUGUCAAGGGUAAGAGCUUAAGAAAAUUAGAAGUAAGCAAAAGGAUUUAACCUAAAUUUAAGAAAGAUCCAGGAGAAACUUGCCCUUGGGUUUAAAUUUUCUCUCUUUGGUUGGUGAUAUGGGCUGCAUCAUGUAGUCAAACAUUUUGAAAGUUUAGCCCUCAGAAAGUAUUGUUAGGUGCUCUUAUAACUCUUAGUGGCAAGGGAAGUGCCGUUUAGUAAAGCACAGUUGAAUUGCAGUUAAAGCGCAGUUAGCGUGUGCUUUCUAGUGAAGCUCCAGGUUUGUUACAGAUUCGGUCAGGAGGAGGAAACUAAUAAUAUUUUGCUGCUCAUGGUUAUUUUGUCCAUGAUCUCUCUCUCUCUUCUUUUUUUAUUUUUUAUUUUUUAACAAUAAGAUUGAGGAUUAUAUACUUUUGGAUUGUUUACCAUUAGAUUUGCUACUUUUACUUAUUUUGGUGCCUUUUGAUGUUUGAUUUUUGUGUAUCAUGUAACCCCAAGGUUUUGUCAUUGCUACCUUUGGUUGGAUAGUAUUUUGUAAUGCCUCAGAAAAAUAUAUUUUGUAUAGCAGAAGAUUUUAGUAUAUGAUGUUAUCUAGACAUGUUAUGUAAUUCAAUAAUUUCUUUGCUAUCCUUUGAUAAAACUAGUAAAUUAAAUUAAAUUUAUUAGGCUUUGAGAGAUUUUGAGGAGAUGGACCUACAACCUUCGGCAAUUGUAAAAAAUUUCUAAGCAUUUUAGCUAAUAGGCUAAACUAGUCACCAUUUUGGUUCUUUUAUGCCCUCAAAUGCGCUCUAGCUCAAUCCUUAUCUUUUAGGCCUUGUUUUGUAAAUGCACUGCUCAAAUAAAUUACUUGUUUGUAAAAACUAAUGAACAUACAAUCCGAGCUUAGGCUUGAUAUGGGUUUGAAAUAAUCCACAAAAUGUCUUAUAUUUUCCCUUAUUCCUAAGAAAAGAGUCUGGCCAAGGGUAUAAAGAAACCUCAGCAAUCCAUUAUUUAUCAUCUCUUAUCAAUUUCUUUGUGUUUCAGCCAUUCAUUUCCCUCUCUUGCUCAGCAGAUUUUGGGCACCAUUAAUCCCUCUAAAAUAUUCCUAAAAUCCAACAAAAAUCAAAUCCUAACCCACAUCGGAUCUGUCAUCAAUUUUUGUUUACUUGAGUUUCUCCCAAAAUGUUCUCUAGCUAUAAUUUGUUGGAUUUAGUUAUCAACUUGCCUUGGGUCAAUUUCUCUUGUUGGAAUAAUGGUUAAAUGAUUGAAUUCGGUUUUUCUUAGUUUAGGCUUUGAGACUAGUGGUAAUUUAUCAUGGUAUUAGAGCAUGUGGUUUUGAGUUUGAACCUUAUCUCCUCUCCACUUUUCCUAUAAAAAGUUAAAAUUCCCACAUGUUGGGCUUUAGUUAUUAAGGGAGAGUUUGGGCCCAGAAUUGAGGGAGUGUAGUCAACCAUUUAUAACAGCUUAAGCUUGUCGCACUAGUAUUAAUUUUAAAAUUCCUAAAUUAGCAGCAUGCAAAGAAAGAUAAACACGAUGGUCACCACGAUGAAGGUCAGUAUUAAUUUUGGGACAUACGGUCAUGCAAAUGAAGAAGAUGAUUAUAAGCUUUUCAUAACCAGAUUAUGAUCGCCACCUCUUCCAUUUACUUAUCUAAUUUGGUACCCAAUAUUUUUCUCUAACUGAGCAGCUUGUCAUAAAUUCUUCCUUUUCUUUCAUUACUUUUUAUUUUAUUUAUUUUUUUACGUUGUGUUUAGUUAGAUGCAUUACUGAAUUUGCUCAUUUGGGAGCCCUCUCAUUUGAGAUUGGGAUUAAUUAUCAAUUUACUAGCACCUUCUUUAAUUGCCUCAAUAUGUAAGUUAUAAGAAAUUUCUCUAGCUGGUUAUAGUAAGUCAAUCUAGAGGAGUCUUUCUAAUUCUCUAGCUUGAAUAUGAGUUUUUCCAUAAUUAGUGUUGGGAUGGCAAAUGUAUCCAUAAUUCCUAUGGUUGCCUUUUGGUGUUGGGAUAGAAAGCUGAGCUACACUUGAGGUUUUGCCAAACAUGCUUGUCAAGAUCGAACAGGGUAAGUGAAGCUUGGCUUGAGUUUGAGCCUACUUUGACAUGUCUCACUCAUGUCCAAGACAAGCCCAAACAACUAAUAUUUGUUUGGCUUGGUUAUGGUCCUCGAUUUAUGUGAUAUGUUGGAUGGCUUCUGGGUUGAAAUUGUUUUGAAUGUCUCUAUUUAUUUACCAAAACAUGUUCUAAAUACUUAUGCAUUUACAACUGCAAAUAUAAUCUGGAUCAGGAUCUUGACAUGGAUAGGAGUUGUGGUUUAAGAAGUAAAGAGAAGUUUGAAGUCAUUCCUUUGGUUUUCCUUGGGUUUUGCUUUUUAUAUUUACAGUAUGGUUAUAAUUUGAAUGAGUAUCUUGAAGGGGGUGAUUGGAAAGUAGUAAUUCUAUUUAAAUAGAAGCUUAAGGCUGUCUUUGGUUCUGUUUACUUGUAUUAUAUUGUUGGCCUGAUAGUUCUUGGCUGCAGUUCUAAUUUGGAUGAGGAUCUUGAGGGGACCUUAAAAGUAGUAACUUUAAGAGUUAAAUAGAAGGUUAGACUUGUGUCUUUUCUUCAAUUUACUGGUGUUAUAAAUUUGAGUUGACAGUUUUCUUUGUUGAUGUCUCUUCCUUGGUUUGUAUAGUUGAUCAGUUUCAAUUCCCCCUCCCUCCUUUCCGCUGAUAAUGAUUUUGAGGCUAUUUAGAUACAACAAUGAUAUUUGUGCAUCUUUGAUAUUACCUGUCUUUCAUAUCUGACCUUUAUCUUUGAUUUUAAUAUGAAACUGGCAUCCUCUUUAUCUACAAUUUCCAAAUUGCUUACACUAUUUUCUUGUCUUAUUUAAGCUGUGUGGGACAGUUGAUGUUCCAGAAAGUUCUCUCUUUGAAUGUUCUUGUUCCUUGUAAGAGUAAAAAGCAUGUAAAAGUUAUCCUGGUGUUAGUAUAGCAGAAUGUUCCACUUGAAAGUUUUUAUUUUUAGAUAGGUCAUGGAAGUGGGGAAGUUUUGUCUAUAUAUCACCUACAGUAUUUUAUGUGCGCCUGAACCCUGAAAUGUGGUUCACUUGAAGUGUAUAAUUUGAUAGAUACUGUGUUAUAUGCUUGUCUUUUGUCCCUUGCUGAAGUAGAGUUCAGUUCAGAAUAACAUUGUAACUACACAUCCUAUUAUUACUGGUUAUGGAAAACCACUAAAAAUUGAAACGCUCAUCAUUUUGGCGAUUUCCAAUUUGGUCACGCAUCAUGUUGAGGUAAAUACACAUACUUCGUGGCAGAAAUUACUACUGCAAAAUGUUGAGGUAUGGUUAUCUUAUGCUUCAGAACUGCGGAUGCUUUAUUUUUCCAAUAGCUUUUGAUUUUGUUGUAUGUAAUUUGCUUCUCUCUGAAAAACUUCCGAGCAUUUUCUCCUGAUGAGUGGAGUAUGAUACUCGUACAUGCUGCAUAGUCACACAGAGACUGUUACACACAGCAAUUGAUUGUUCAUUACUCAUUAUUCAUUUCUUUACAAGUCUUCUUUUACAGGGA